rnacentral:rRNA from 1 species
GGGGGAAUUUUGGACAAUGGGGGCAACCCUGAUCCAGCCAUCCCGCGUGUGCGAUGAAGGCCUUCGGGUUGUAAAGCACUUUUGGCAGGAAAGAAAAGGCGCCGGCCAAUACCUGGCGCCGCUGACGGUACCUGCCGAAUAAGCACCGGCUAACUACGUGCCAGCAGCCGCGGUAAUACGUAGGGUGCAAGCGUUAAUCGGAAUUACUGGGCGUAAAGCGUGCGCAGGCGGGUUCGGGAAGAAAGAUGUGAAAUCCCAGGGCUUAACCUUGGAACUGCAUUUUUAACUACCGGGCUAGAGUGUGUCAGAGGGGGGUGGAAUUCCACGUGUAGCAGUGAAAUGCGUAGAGAUGUGGAGGAACACCGAUGGCGAAGGCAGCCCCCUGGGAUAACACUGACGCUCAGGCACGAAAGCGUGGGGAGCAAACAGGAUUAGAUACCCUGGUAGUCCACGCCCUAAACGAUGUCAACUAGCUGUUGGGUCCUUCGGGGCUUGGUAGCGCAGCUAACGCGUGAAGUUGACCGCCUGGGGAGUAC